GACGAAUGCUGGCGGCGUGCUUAACACAUGCAAGUCGAACGGGUCUGCCCUGUUUUUUGCGGGGUGGGUCAGUGGCGAACGGGUGAGUAACACGUGAGUAACCUGCCCCUCACUUCUGGAUAACCGCUUGAAAGGGUGGCUAAUACGGGGUGUUCUGGCUGUGCCGCAUGGUGUGGCUGGGAAAGAUUCACUUUUGUGGUGUUUUGGUGGGGGAUGGGCUCGCGGCCUAUCAGCUUGUUGGUGGGGUGAUGGCCUGCCAAGGCUUUGACGGGUAGCCGGCCUGAGAGGGUGGGCGGUCACACUGGGACUGAGAGACGGCCCAGACUCCUGCGGGAGGCAGCAGUGGGGGGUAUUGCACAAUGGGCGGAAGCCUGAUGCAGCGACGUCGCGUGAGGGAUGGAGGCCUUCGGGUUGUGAACCUCUUUCGCCGGUGAAGAAGGUCCUGCUCUUUGUGGUGGGGUUGACGGUAGCCGGGUUAUGAAGCGCCGGCUAACUACGUG
rnacentral:rRNA from 1 species